rnacentral:rRNA from 1 species
UGGCUCAGAUUGAACGCUGGCGGCAUGCUUUACACAUGCAAGUCGAACGGCAGCACGAAAGAGCUUGCUCUUUUGGUGGCGAGUGGCGAACGGGUGAGUAAUACAUUGGAACGUACCGAGUAAUGGGGGAUAACUGUCCGAAAGGAUGGCUAAUACCGCAUACGCUCUGAGGAGGAAAGCGGGGGACCUUCGGGCCUCGCGUUAUUCGAGCGGCCAAUGUCUGAUUAGCUAGUUGGUGGGGUAAAGGCCUACCAAGGCGACGAUCAGUAGUGGGUCUGAGAGGAUGAUCCGCCACACUGGGACUGAGACACGGCCCAGACUCCUACGGGAGGCAGCAGUGGGGAAUUUUGGAC